UACGAAGGGGGCUAGCGUUGUUCGGAAUUACUGGGCGUAAAGCGUGCGCAGGCGGUCUUCCAAGUCAGUGGUGAAAGCCCGGAGCUCAACUCCGGAACUGCCAUUGAAACUGUUGGACUUGAGGACGAGAGAGGUGAGUGGAAUUCCCAGUGUAGAGGUGAAAUUCGUAGAUAUUGGGAAGAACACCAGUGGCGAAGGCGGCUCACUGGCUCGUUUCUGACGCUCAUGCACGAUAGCGUGGGGAG
rnacentral:rRNA from 1 species